AUACAGAGGGUGCGAGCGUUAAUCGGAAUUACUGGGCGUAAAGCGCGCGUAGGCGGUCUAUUAAGUCAGAUGUGAAAUCCCAGGGCUCAACCUUGGAACUGCAUCUGAUACUGGUAGACUAGAGUUUUGGAGAGGGAAGUAGAAUUUCAGGUGUAGCGGUGAAAUGCAUAGAGAUCUGAAGGAAUACCAGUGGCGAAGGCGACUCCCUGGCCAAAAACUGACGCUGAGGUGCGAAAGCGUGGGUAGCAAACGGGAUUAGAUACCCUAGUAGUCC
rnacentral:rRNA from 1 species